UACGAAGGGGGCUAGCGUUGCUCGGAAUCACUGGGCGUAAAGCGCACGUAGGCGGACUCUUAAGUCAGGGGUGAAAUCCUGGAGCUCAACUCCAGAACUGCCUUUGAUACUGAGAGCCUUGAGUUCGGGAGAGGUGAGUGGAACUGCGAGUGUAGAGGUGAAAUUCGUAGAUAUCGCAGGAACACCAGUGGCGAAGGCGGCUCACUGGUCCGAUACUGACGCUGAGGAGCGAAAGCGUGGGGAGCGAACAGG
rnacentral:rRNA from 1 species